CCUGCCAAGGUCAUUGGUCUCCCCAAGCUGGACUCCAGCUAACACAGUCCAGCCUGUGCUUAAGCUGGAAGAAGUCCAUGGUCUGGAAUAUACAGCCUCUCAGAGCCGAUGUGCAGUCGUGGUCUCUGCUCAUUACACUGAGGAUGUCUGCUCUAGGAGUCUCUGGGCGCUGUGAAGAUGAGUGGGGAAGGCUACCACGGGGACAGCUGGAGAGACUGGGGAACUGAAGACGAGGGGUGAAGGAAGGGAAGAGAGAGAGGGGUGCCAGAGGGACCGCAGCUGCUGAGAUUUCCUAAGCAGCCUUCAGGACGCCCCCACCCCCUGGAACUGGGUGAUCCUCUGUCUGGCAUUUCUUUACUGAAUGGGGUAGACAGGAAGAAACCAGGACCCCAGACACAUGACAGAGAAAUGACCAUAUGAAGAAAGGAGACAGGUGGACCAGCCCCCGCUGACACUCCAGUACUGCACCUCACUAAAGCAGGAGCUGCAGAAGAAACACAGACCCUUCCAAGGACAUGAACUGUACUCUCAGCCAAUCCGCGUCCUGUCUCGUUCAGUCAGGGCCUUGGAUGGUCCUACGCACCACUGUGUGUGAAUUUACAUAAUUGGAGCUGUGUUAGAUCAAUCUCAGAAAAGGGCAAGAUCGAAGGCCAAGCCAGAGGUGAGGUCUGAGCUCCAGCCAAAGGGCAUCAGCUGUCUAGACAAAUCAAGAUCCUGAAGGAACAGGAAGAGGCCGACUCCAGCAGGCUUUCCACAAAAUGGUAAUUAGCAAAUUGUAUCAAAAGGUAUCAAAGUGUUUCAAAAAACUCUAAAAAUAGCCAGCUUGGUAGAUCCAUAGUCAGAGUGUCCUUGCAUUCCACAGGCUCCUCCUGGGGCCAGGGGUCCCCCCAGCAGAGCUGCCGUUGCAGGGCUGAGACCCCAGGCUCAAGACGAUUCUAGAACCCAAAGCCUCUGAGCUGGGCUUGGGCCAGCAGCCGAGUGCCACACCAUGGGGGCCAGGGUAAGGAAGGUUGGUGACUCUGUAAGGGGUGGUGGGGGCGGCAGGCACCCUUCUUGUCUAGCAUGCCUAGAAGUGACCUGCCACAGAUCACUAGAAGGAACCUCUUGGCUUGGGGUCAAGACACCUACUUAGACACAGGUCAGUAUAUCUGAAAUCUCAGAGCAGAGUGCUGGGCCCCGGAGAGGAGGGGCUUUUGUUCCUUUGGAGGCCCAGAAGAUGCCUGGGCGUUAGCUGCUGGGCCCCACCUAUGCCGGUCUGCCCAGAACAAGGAGUCCAAGCCCCACCUGGGGGGGCUUACAGAAAUGGUGGUGUCCCCACCUAUCAAAGCGUGCCGGACGAUCACACAUAUUUUCUUCUGGAGGAAGGCUGUCUCGCUGUCUUACCCAGGUUAGCUGGGAACUCCCUGGUUUAAGAGAUCCACUGGUAGCCAAAGCCUACCCAGGGACUGGGACUAUAGUCUGGGUCCCAGCAGCUGGCUGAUCUAUGUGCAUGUCAAACAACAGGAAGACCUGUGAACAAACAUCCCCGCGGCUCCCUGGUGGCCCCCCUUCUGUUGUACAAACAGGGCUCCAACCCAGGUGAGGGGCAAAAGCAAAGAUCUACAAGGAGUGUCAGUUAAAACUCUGCUGUUUUAUAUUUUAUUCAUUAUUUUUAUUUUAUGUGUAUGUGUGUAUUGCCUGCAUGUAGGUAAGUGCACCCAUGUUGUGCAAGGCCCGCAGAGGACAGAAAGGCCAUCGGAUCCCCUGGAACUGGAAUUAGAGACAAAAACUCUAUUCUUCAUAAACAAGAAGCACAACCAGAGUCCAAGCCUACCACUGACUCAAACAGAGGCUCAGGGUCAGAGGGAGCUCUGACUUGGCUGCCACAGCGUAGAAUUCUCACCUUAAGUCACAGGUAACAGAACACGGCCCAGAUGCACUGCGGAGCUCAAAACCCUUUCUGGACACAGGGCAGUUGCCACCACCUGUGUGACGCUUACAUUCUAGCCCACCCUUUCAAGGAAGGCUCUCAGCCCCUACAAUACUAGAUUCCAAGCCUGUAAGUUACAAAGCACAUUAACAAUGCCAGGAGAGAUCACAACACAUUAGGUGCGGGCUAUUGUAUUUAACCCACAAGCCACCAAGUGGAGUAGAAGUCGCGCGCCUCCACACAUCUGGGGCAAGUACCGGCCGAGAGCUAUGGGAAGGGCCAGCUUAGGCUCAGAUUGGUGGCUGUCCUCAGCCCAGGGUCAGCACCAUCCUGUUCUGUAAGCCACACACAGCCUUUCUGUGUGCUUUCCCCAACUUGCCCAAUUCUCCCUGAAGCACCUCCUGGCUGUUCAAGACCUGCAGAGGACAGGCCGCACCUAACGCUUUGCCUAUGGAAGGGCCUUUGUCUUAGUUAGUUUCUCCAUUGCUGUGACAAAACACUCUGACCAAUACCAACUUGGGAAGGAAAGGGUUUGUCUUACAUCUCCUGGGUCACAGUUCAUCUGGGAGCCCAAGGUAGGAACU